UAGAAACACUAUCACCUACGCAUACCUCUGCUUCUUUUCAUUAACCUGCUAUCCUCUUUACAAAUGGGAUUCUUCACCCACUCCCUUCUUCUAGAUUAGCAAUGCCCUGUUAAGUAAACGAACACGAAAUUCAAAGGGAAACAGGAGCAAUCAUCAUUACCAGCUGCCGUGUUAAGCAUUGCGAAAACGCUCACGAUUCACAGAAAAAUCCAUGCUGUUCUUUGAAGGCAUUCAAGCCUUAAUAGCUAGCUGGAUGAAUGUUUAACUUCUAGGCCAGGCACUACUCUGUCCCAACAAUAAGCCCUGUACAUUGGGAAAGGUGCCGAGACAUGAACUUUGGUCUUCUCUGCAAUCCAUCUGGAGCAUUCACUGACAACAUCGACUUUGAAGUUGCACUGACCUGGCCAGCCCUGCCACUUACCAGGUUGGCUCUGUAUGGCUAAGCGUUUUCUCCUAAAAUCCCUUGAAAACUGUGAGAAGACCAUAAGAAGAUCAUAUCUUUAAUUCUAUUUCACAAGUCACACAAUAUUCCAAUCAAAUACAGAUGGUUGAGAAAAGUCAUCCAUCUUCCCUCCCCACCCUCCCACAGCCCCUCAACCACUGCCCUGAAACUUAUAUGCUGUUAUCCGCAGCUCCAUCUGGAGCAUCACAGCUACUGUCAACCCUGACGCUCUUUCUGAAAAAACACCGGAUGGACAUCAGAACUAUUUCUUUAAGGAUGUUACUGAGCCACACAGGAAAACUUGCCUUAUGAUUUUGAAUGCACGGAUCUGAUUUGACUAAACAUGAUAACUAGAGAAUCACCCAAUCUACUCCCAUUUUCAACUCUAAAUCAUCAGAGUGUCUCAAAUCCAAAGCACACACAGACCAGCCUGGCCAACACGGUGAAACUCCACCCCUACUAAAAGUAUAAAAAUUAUCCAGGUGUGGUGGCGGGCGCCUGUAAUCCAAGCUACUUGGGAGUCUGGAGGCAGGAGAAUCCCUUGAACCUGGGAGAUGGAGGUUGCAGUGAGCAGAGAUCACACCACCGCACUCUAGCCUGGGCCACAAAUCAACAACAACAACAACAACAAAAAACAAAGCGCACACAGAGACUGAGGUCCUCUUUGGCAUUGAGAAGAUGGCUAUGCAAGUCCCAACUAGCAAGUGCAAACUUCCCAGCUUCACUUCUGCCAGUGUCCCUUCACCCCUUCUCAACCCCACUGGGAGGCAGGAGGGUGCUUGACAAUAACAGCCUUGGCAUCACUCUGCCAGGGUGUAAUAGGAACUGUUACAAUUCUGAGAUUCUGUGUAAGCACUGGCCUUUCUGCCUAGAAUGCCUUCUCCUCUCUUUUUUAACUGCAUGCUCCUAUUUAUCUUUCAAAGCCCGGAAAAAAUAACACUGCACACGGGAAAUGCUCCCUUCCUACUGCAGUCAUUUAGAUGACUCUAUGCCAUUCCAUUCAUUUCUCUUUCCUACCACAGAAGUGCUUUGAGAUUUUGGAGUCAGACUGCUUGAACUUGAAUCCUGGCCCUCUCAUCAGAGACUUGACUUAUUUUAGGCAAGUUAUAUAACCAAUUUUACCUCAGUUCCUUACCCAUAAAAUGGGUCUAAUGAGAGUACCUACCACACAGAAUUUUGAUGAAAACUGAAUGAGAUGAAGGCCUUUAAGGCAGUGGUCCCCAACCCUGGGGACACAGACAGGUACCAUUUUGUGGCCUGUUAGGAACUGGGCCACACAGCAGGAGGUGAGCAGUGGGUGAGUGAGAUCAGCGUUAUUUACAGCUGCUCCCCAUUGCUCACCUUACUGCCUGAGCUCCACCUCCUGUCAGAUCAGCAGUGGCAUUAAAUUCUCAUAGCAGCACAAACCCUGUCAUGAACUGCACAUGCGAGGGAUCUAGGUUGUGCGCUCCUUAUGAGAAUCUAAUGCCUAAUGACCUGUCACCGUCUCCCAUCACCCCUAGAUGGGAGUGUCUAGUUGCAGGAAACAAGCUCAGGGCUUCCACUGAUUCUACAUUAUGGUGAGUUGUAUAAUUAUUUCAUUAUAUAAUACAAUGUAAUAAUAAUAGAAACACAGUGCACAACAAAUGUAAUGUGCUUGAAUCAUCCCCAAACCAUCCCAGUCCACGGUCUUCCACAUUUUGUCUUUUCACAAAAUUGUCUUCCACAAAACUGGUCCCUGGUGCCAAAAAGGCUUGGGACCACUGCUUUAAAGCCUUUGCAUAGUGCUUAGAAUUGAGGGGGAAAAAAAAAACAAAAACAAUGUAGCUAGUUGCUACAAUCACUAUAUUGGUGAGUUUCAAAAGGAAAAGAAUUCUGUCCCAUUUAUGCUUGAGCCUUGAGUUGCUAACCAAGCCUGACACAAAAUUACUGUUGAAGGGAUGUGUGAGUCCUAAUUGAAAUGAGGCCUCUUAAGGGAAUUGUGGACCAAACCCCAAGCAGGCAGAAAGCCGUAUCUUAAUUAUUGCAAGUAUUUCAGGCAAGGUGUGGAUGGCCAUUUGAAUUCAAGCAGACUAGGACCUGGGAUGAGAAAGAAGGUGUGUACGUGACUUGAUCUUUGAACUUUAGCUCACCAUCUGGAAGAAGGCUGAGUAUUCUCUGCACUCACAUAGUAGCUAAUGCCUACUCCCCAGCCACCCACAAUUCUUUCUGUAGGAAGGCUCGCUAGAAUACUUUGUGAUAUUGGAUAUUAGUUCCAUAUUCUACUGUGUAUCUUAGUUCAACCAAAUUGUAAUCAUCUGAUAUUUAUUUCUUUUAAUAUAAAUAUAAGUAUAUUAAGUCUUGGCAUGCUUGCUCAGUCUCUCUCUCUCUCCCAUUCCUCCCCGCUCCCCUCUCUCUUUCCCAACAGGCUUGGAAAGCAGGCAUCACCAUGCCUAUUUAACAGUUGGGGUCCCUUGGCCACCAGGUGCUGGAGUAGGAAUCUGAGCCCGGACAUGCCUGAUCUGUAAAUUUUGUGUUUUCCCCACUGUGCUGGGCAGAUCACAGCUAUCAGCGCCAAAUUCAUAGAAGGGGCGCCCCCUGUGGUCAAUUGAGGGAUUUGUGUUUGAGGUAGAUCUCAAGAAGGAAUGGGUGGGGAACUUAGCCUAGGACAGAGCAGAAAGGAGCCCUCACUCCCCAAGCACCAACGGCCUCAGUCCUUCCUGCUGACUCCAGCCUCUAGCUCUCACCCAGACUAUCUGCAUCCUUCUCUCCACCACGCUCCUUUGGAACCUGCGUAAAACACAGAUUAAAGGAAUUCCGCCUUACUUCCCUUUCCGCAUUAUGACCAAAUGGUUUUACACUAUCAUUGAACAGUUUAGUACAAAACAUGCCACCUUUUAAUCUAUUCAUUCAUUUAACAAAUACUUUGGAGUGUUUACCAUGUGCCAAGUGCUGUUCUAAUAGACAUAAGCUGUGAGGUUAUGCUUAUCUGAUUCUCACAGCAACAGCUUUCGAGAUAUGAAUUGGUAUACUCAUUUGACAGAUGAGGAAAUUGAAUUCAUGUAGUGAGAAAGGAAGAGCUGCAAUUCAGGGUUACUGGUUUCUCCUGCACUAAGCACUGAGCCACACUAGAAGAGAAGGCAUGAGGAAGACAAAAGUGAGAAGGUACGAGAGAAGAUAUUAAGUAGAGGUCUAUUAGUUCCUCUUAAAACUAUUUAUGAAAGAGGCGGAUGGGGUAGUGGAUGGGAAAGACAGAUGGAUUCAUGUUCUUCACUCCAGGUUUCCCCCCAUUCCCUUCCCUUUUAAAUGCCUGCUCAUUUUUUGGCUACCUUUCAAGCUCUAGGAAAUACUCUGGAAUUCCAGGCUGGGAGGGGUUUCCUUUGCAGAUCUGGCUAUUGUAACUUUACAAGAAAUUGCUCAAUACUUCCUCUCACCAGUUACAAACCACGGUUUUCUGAAUGAACUUUAUGUUCAUUAAACAGUUAACCCUUCAGCUUUCUGACUCACAUUUUUCAUGUUAUUAAUCAGCUCUUAGAGUAAGGUAAAAUCUAGAACAGACUUUAUAUACACCCUCCCUCCCACACACAUAUACAUACAUAAUACAAACACAGACCACACAUGUCCACAUCCUUAUGCGCAAACACUAAGAAACACACGCAUACACAAACAUACAUGUACACAAAAUUAAAUACAUAGCUAUGGCACUUUCACUAUACAUGUAAACACCCUUACACACAUACAAAUGUACAUGCGCGUGUGCGCACACACAUAUGGAAUUAGCUUUUUCUCUUUGUGGGAGGAGGGAAAUGAAAAGACCCAAAACAUUCAGAUUCCCAAAUGGACACGUAAGAACCCCGUCAUGGAAAUAGGUCUGGGUUUUUUUCUCUUUUGAGGGAAGCAGGGCGUUUCUGGUUACUGUCGCCAUUGCCAUUGUGCCCCUGCUUACCAUCCCCCUGCACCGCCCCCCCGGCCCCCGCCCGCCACUGCUAGGGUUUACAGGUCAUCCCUGGAUUAAAUAAGUGAUAUUGUGUUUUUUUUUCUUUGACACAAAGUAAAAUUAUAAUUAAUAUUGAAUAAAGUAAAAAUGAACUCCUGAGUUCCAGUCCCUUAUGUAACACACCUGGUUUGUGGCAGGCACUCAGGAAAUAUUAGUUGCAUGAACGAAGGCUGCAUUUUCAUUAGAACAACAUGCAGUUCAACCCCUUCAUGUUUCAAUGAGGGUUCAGAUACCCAGAGGGCUAUGCUAUCAUCCUGGAGCCCACUCUGCUAACAAUUAGCAGAACGGAAGCCUUAAUUUCCAGAUUCUAGUGAACUUGAUGAGUCAAGACUAUUGCAAUUGGAAAUCUGUUCUCCUCUGCUGCUGCAUUCCCUGCUUAAUACUCAAGCCAGAAACCAGGAAGGUAUGUGCCACAAAGUAAAGUGGGAUUCAGGACAAUUAUCCAUCAAGACUUUGUUACAGAUAUCCAAAGCAGGCAAUUCAAGACCCAGCUUGACUUUACUGUCUCCAUUGUGGUGGUUAAUGGAGACAAAUUCAAUUCAAAUAUGUGCACGUGGAUUUCUUUGUUUCUCUGAGGUUUGACUUAUCUGCCAAAAGAGAGAAACACAGAAAGAGGGGAGAAACAGGAGAGGGGAAAGAGAGAGGAGAGAGAAACCAAGGAAAUGUGACAUAUAAUAAUUUUUUAAAGAAUAUUUUUUCAUUUUUUUAUUGAGGUAUAAAAUACAUGUAGUAAGGUAUGUCAAUAACUCAAAUCUUAUGUGAUUUUUUUAUGUACAUGUAUACCUGUGUACACCUGUGUAACCACUACCUAAGUCAAGAUAGAGAACAUUUUAAUCAUCUUAAAAGAUUUCCUGUGUCUCUUCCCACCAAUACCUGCUGAUGAGCCCACUCUCCUUACAGCUAUCAGCAGAGUUGUUUUACCUGUCCUUGAACUUAAUAUAAAUGUAAUUAUACUGUAUAUGCUCUUUUGUGUCUGAUUUCUUUCACCCAACGUACUUGUUGGUUUAGUCCAUGUUGUGUAUAUCAGCAGUUUGUUUUUGUUAAGUAGCAGUGUUCCAUUGUAUAAAUGGACCAUAUUUUAUCCUUCAUGUUAAUGAACAUUUGAAUUGUUUUCAUGUUCUUGUUAUGAAUCAACAUGGUUAUGAAUAGUUUGGUUAUGAAGAGUUUUACACAUGUUUUUAGUCUAUUUUGUUUCUCUUAAAUAUAUACUUAGUCACGGGAUUACUGGUCAUAUAGUAUAGGCAGGCAGAUGUUCAGCUUUAAUUGACACAACCAACUGUUUUUGAAAGGGGUUGAGGCAAUUCACACACAAUAAAUAACAAUAUAUAAAAGUUCCAA
ensembl:lncRNA CASC19 cancer susceptibility 19